rnacentral:lncRNA from 1 species
AGUUGAUGGCAUCUAUGUCUAGGAGUAGGAGUUUUUCUUAGGUGUGUUUUUUAAAGUCAUUAUUCUUUUUUAUAUUUUUCCAAUUUUAAAUAGUGAAUAUGAGCCACUUUUAUAAUUAACAUAUACAUUUAAGAUAAAAUAGAUAAUACAGACAUACAAUUUUCCUAGUAAAAUUCCAUAAACAUUUUUUCUCAUAAUAUUGUCUUAUGAAAUAACAAAAAUCUUAAUAAUAUGAAAUGUUGAAUAAUGCUUGUUUUCAGGAAGUG